UGUUGUCCACUGCCCUUUUUCUGUUGCACUACUGGAUAUUGAGGUGAGCAGUGCAAUAUUAAAAGGGCAUUGGCUGAUGAA
rnacentral:pre_miRNA from 1 species